rnacentral:rRNA from 1 species
GGUCUACCACCGGGAUGUUCAUAACCCUUUGUUGUCCGACUCUGUUGCCUCCGGGGCGACCCUGCCUUCGGGCGGGGGCUCCGGGUGGACACUUCAAACUCUUGCGUAACUUUGCAGUCUGAGUAAACUUAAUUAAUAAAUUAAAACUUUUAACAACGGAUCUCUUGGUUCUGGCAUCGAUGAAGAACGCAGCGAAAUGCGAUAAGUAAUGUGAAUUGCAGAAUUCAGUGAAUCAUCGAAUCUUUGAACGCACAUUGCGCCCCCUGGUAUUCCGGGGGGCAUGCCUGUUCGAGCGUCAUUUCACCACUCAAGCCUCGCUUGGUAUUGGGCAUCGCGGUCCGCCGCGUGCCUCAAAUCGACCGGCUGGGUCUUCUGUCCCCUAAGCGUUGUGGAAACUAUUCGCUAAAGGGUGUUCGGGAGGCUACGCCGUAAAACAACCCCAUUUCUAAGGUUGACCUCGGAUCAGGUAGGGAUACCCGCUGAACUUAAGCAUAUCAAUAAGCGGAG